UACGUAGGGGGCAAGCGUUGUCCGGAUUUAUUGGGCGUAAAGAGCGUGUAGGCGGCCAGGUAGGUCAGCUGUGAAAACUCGAGGCUCAACCUCGAGACGUCGGUUGAAACCAUCUGGCUAGAGUCCGGAAGAGGAGAAUGGAAUUCCUGGUGUAGCGGUGAAAUGCGCAGAUAUCAGGAAGAACACCCGUGGCGAAGGCGGUUCUCUGGGACGGUACUGACGCUGAGACGCGAAAGCGUGGGGAGCGAACAGG
rnacentral:rRNA from 1 species